ACUCACCCUGAUCAAAAGGAUUUUCAUGCAACUCAACAGCCUGUCAGCCAAUCAAAAAAAAAUUCUCAGGUAUGGACCAAGACGAUAACAUAGGAAGUUCCUGAACUUCUUCCUCCCAUGGACACACGGGCGAAUAAGAAAAUGCAUUAAAAAAGGAAGAUCAGCCCUGAGCUAACAUCUGUUGCCAAUCCUCUUUUUGCUGAGGAAGACUGGCCCUGAGGUAACAUCCGUGCCCAUCUUCCUCCACUUUGUAUGUGGGACGCCUGCCACAGCAUGGCUUGCCAAGUGGUGCCAUGUCCGCACCUUGGAUCCAAACCAGCGAACCCCGGGCCGCCUGAAGUGGAACGUUCAAACUUGACUGCUGCGCCACCAGCCCAGCCCCGAAAGUGUGUUUAUUUUUAAGGACAAAAGACUCAGAAAGAAAUUUUGACCUUUCCUCUGACUGCCUAAAAGAAUUUAAGAUGGAAGGCAUGUCCCAGGAAGGAGCUAUCACCACAGGCAGUGGAUCAGUUGGGGUUAAGUCAGAACAGAGUCUACAUGACAUAGAUUAAUUAACAGACGUUUUUGAAGAGCUGAGAAGCCAAACAGAGGAUAAUAAGGCUACCAAGAUUUUAGCAGCAAUUGGAAUCUUGAGAAAGAAAAGGAAAAUGUGGUGCUAUGAAAACUCAAAAUCCAGGAUGACCAGAUGAGAGAUGAAAACAUGGAUAAGAUGGUCCAGUGACUCCAUGGCCUCCCAUGGUAUCAUGUGCACAGUGGCCAUCUGGAAGAAAUGGGAACCAUUGAAGAGAUGGAGCCAUUCUCAGAAAUGUGGACAGAAAAAGAAAAAGGGGGCAAGAAAUGCCCCAGCUUCUUGCUCCCUCCUUCUCUCCCUCCCACCUACCACCAGUAACGCUCUGUGGCAGGACCCAGACUGGGGCCUGGAUGUGGGUGUCAGGACAGAGUUGUCUGUGAGCAUUAGCCCCACUG
rnacentral:lncRNA from 1 species